UGAACGCUGGCGGCGUGCUUAAUACAUGCAAGUCGAACGAAGCACCUUGGACAGAAUCCUUCGGGAGGAAGACCAUUGUGACUGAGUGGCGGACGGGUGAGUAAUGCGUGAGCAACCUGCCCUUCGAGAGGGGGACAACAGUUGGAAACGACUGCUAAUACCGCAUAAUGUAUUCGGAAGGCAUCUUCUGAAUACCAAAGGAGAAAUCCGCUGAGGGAUGGGCUCACGUCUGAUUAGUUAGUUGGUGAGAUAACGGCCCACCAAGGCGACGAUCAGUAGCCGACCUGAGAGGGUGACCGGCCACAUUGGGACUGAGACACGGCCCAAACUCCUACGGGAGGCAGCAGUGGGGAAUAUUGCACAAUGGGGGAAACCCUGAUGCAGCGACGCCGCGUGAGCGAAGAAGUAUUUCGGUAUGUAAAGCUCUAUCAGCAGGGAAGAAAAAAUGACGGUACCUGACUAAGAAGCCCCGGCUAACUACGUG
rnacentral:rRNA from 1 species